AUCAUGACUCAGCAGCAUCACAUACAGCACAUCCUCGGACCUAAGGUUAACAGCUCCACUUUAACGACAGUCCAGCAGUCUUACACAACAUGAGUGGAAGAACAGUCUUGGUUGAAUAUUGUGGCACAGGAUGAGGUUAUCGCCCGCGCUUCCAGAAGCUUGCCAAUGCCAUCCGGGCAGAGGUUAACGAUGUGGACGUGGUGGGACGAGAGGGGGGGGGCGGUGCCUUUGAGGUGUCACUGAAUGGUGAGGAGGUCCACUCCAAGCUCAAGAAGGGAAGGUUUCCUGAUAAUGACGAGGUGGUCAAGGCUUUGAAGAAGAGACUUGGCUAAGAAAAACAUCUGCAAAGGCCUCCAAGCAUGAGAGGAUGGAGGUCAAAACACCAGCUGUAUUCACACUACAAGAACAAUGGUUUGAUCUUUAUGGCUCAGACUACAUUCUGUCACGGCUCUCUAUCUAGUUUUCAAUGAAGAAAAAUAUGACAUUAAAACAUUUUUAAAAUUCUAAUUUAACCUAAAUUGAAACCCUCAAGUGUCACCGUCAGCCACGAGAAGAAGAUCAGACCAUUAAUCUUCACUGUGAAUACAGACAAAGACCAGAAGAUGACGAGAGUAACUCUGAGGAGCCAGGCGCUGAUCUGCACUUCUGUUUAUGAAUGGACUCACUAAAAGCCAUGUAGUGUGUUCAUGAUGCAAGCCUAGAAGCUUUUCAGCCGGCUGGAGCCUGAGGAACUGCUCUCGUCAUGUCCGUCUGCCGUUUACUCAAACAUAAAACCUAUCUACAGCUGCAUUUACUCAGGAAUAGAAAAUCAGAAAAUGUAACUCUGUUAUAUAUUUCAUAUUUCUCUGUUUAGAUAACUCCAAAUGUUUUCAGUCUGUGACAUCACAGGGCACAAAUUAAAGGAACAGUUUGACAUUUCUGGAAAUAGGCUUUUUGGCUUUCAUGCCAAGAGUUAGCUAGAUGAGACGAUCGAUACCACUCUCAUGUUUAUACGAUGAAUAUGAAGCUACCACCAGCAGCCUGUUAGCUUAUCUUAGCAUGAAGACUGGAAGCUGGGAGACACAGUCAGCCUGGCUCCGUCCUGUCAACACAAUCUGCCGACCAGCACCUCUAAAGCUCACUGAUUGACAUGUGAUGUCUGGUUUGUUUAAUCUGUACAAAAACCAGAGUGUUUAAGUCACAAGUUGCUGCUGACAGGAGGUUAUGGGCCGGACUCUUUCUUGGCUUGGACCAGUAACCUUCUGGAGUCGUGCUACUGGUCCACGCCAUGAAAUAGUCCGGCUCCUAACCCCUCUGUAAAAUGGCAAAUGUCAUCUGUGCACUGUGGUUUUUGUACAGAUCAAACAAGAUAUACAGCAGCAUGUGAAUCAGUGAGCUUUAGAGGUUGUGGUCGGCGGGUAUUUGUUACCUUUGGACAGAGCCAGGCUGGCUGUUCCCCCUGUUUCCAGUCUGUAUGCUAAGCUAAGCUAACCAGCUGGUGGUAGCUGUAUAUUUACCGCACAGACAUGAGAGUGGUAUCGAUCUUCUUAAUUUACUCUGCAAGACAGCAAAAUAAACGUAUUUCCAAAGAUGUUGAACAAUCCUUUACAUUUAGGGUGGUCAAACAUAAAGUGUGCCACUAUUUUCCUCUCUGAUUUGGAGACAAACAAAAAGAUUUUUCAAAUGUUAUUAAAGCCUCACACACAGUGCAUUUACUGUAUGGACGACCACCCCAUUCAGAUAUCAAUACCUGUAUUUCUAGAACUGCAUUCAUACUCUAAAAUACUUCAUAGACACAGACUCAUUAAAUUCUAACAUAUCAGAUCGAUUUUAAAUCCACAUCUGCCACAUAUGCUCUGCUUUCUCAAACAAAUGCAUGCACUAUAGCCUUAUUAUAUCAUGAGAUCUUUCAUUUGACUUUGGAAAUACCUUUGAGCUUUUCAACAACUCACGCCACUGUUAUAUCGUUGUGUCACCUGUAAUCAUCAAGACACACAAAUGCAAUAAAAUAUCACUGAUAAAACAACAA